UACGAAGGGGGCUAGCGUUGCUCGGAAUCACUGGGCGUAAAGCGCACGUAGGCGGCUUUCUAAGUCAGGGGGUGAAAUCCUGGAGCUCAACUCCCAGAACUGCCUUUGAUACUGGAGAGCUUGAGUCCGGGAGAGGUGAGUGGAACUCCGAGUGUAGAGGUGAAAGUUCGUAGAUAUUCGGAAGAACACCAGUGGCGAAGGCGGCUCACUGGCCCGGUACUGACGCUGAGGUGCGAAAGCGUGGGGAGCAAACAGG
rnacentral:rRNA from 1 species